rnacentral:rRNA from 1 species
AGAGUUUGAUCAUGGCUCAGGAUGAACGCUGGCGGCGUGCUUAACACAUGCAAGUCGAACGAAGCACCUUGAUUUGAUUUUUCGGAUGAAGAUCCUGGUGACUGAGUGGCGGACGGGUGAGUAACGCGUGGGUAACCUGCCUCAUACAGGGGGAUAACAGUUAGAAAUGACUGCUAAUACCGCAUAAGACCACAGCACCGCAUGGUGCAGGGGUAAAAACUCCGGUGGUAUGAGAUGGACCCGCGUCUGAUUAGGUAGUUGGUGGGGUAACGGCCUACCAAGCCGACGAUCAGUAGCCGACCUGAGAGGGUGACCGGCCACAUUGGGACUGAGACACGGCCCAAACUCCUACGGGAGGCAGCAGUGGGGAAUAUUGCACAAUGGGGGAAACCCUGAUGCAGCGACGCCGCGUGAGCGAUGAAGUAUUUCGGUAUGUAAAGCUCUAUCAGCAGGGAAGAGAAUGACGGUACCUGACUAAGAAGCACCGGCUAAAUACGUGCCAGCAGCCGCGGUAAUACGUAUGGUGCAAGCGUUAUCCGGAUUUACUGGGUGUAAAGGGAGCGUAGACGGAGUGACAAGUCUGAUGUGAAAACCCGGGGCUCAACCCCGGGACUGCAUUGGAAACUGUCAAUCUAGAGUACCGGAGAGGUAAGCGGAAUUCCUAGUGUAGCGGUGAAAUGCGUAGAUAUUAGGAGGAACACCAGUGGCGAAGGCGGCUUACUGGACGGUAACUGACGUUGAGGCUCGAAAGCGUGGGGAGCAAACAGGAUUAGAUACCCUGGUAGUCCACGCCGUAAACGAUGACUACUAGGUGUCGGGCAGCAAAGCUGUUCGGUGCCGCAGCAAACGCAAUAAGUAGUCCACCUGGGGAGUACGUUCGCAAGAAUGAAACCCAAAGGAAUUGACGGGGGCCCGCACAAGCGGAGGAACAUGUGGUUUAAUUCGAUGAUACGCGAGGAACCUUACCCGGGCUUGAAUUGCAGAGGAAGGAUUUAGAGAUAAUGACGCCCUUCGGGGCCUCUGUGAAGGUGCUGCAUGGUUGUCGUCAGCUCGUGCCGUGAGGUGUCGGCUUAAGUGCCAUAACGAGCGCAACCCCUCUCCGUAGUUGCCAUCGGGUGAUGCCGGGCACUCUGCGGACACUGCCACCGUAAGGUGUGAGGAAGGUGGGGAUGACGUCAAAUCAGCACGGCCCUUACGUCCGGGGCUACACACGUGUUACAAUGGGGCAUACAGAGCGCCGGCGGCCGGCAACGUCCGUCCAAUCGCAAAAGUGUCCCCCAGUUCGGACUGGGGUCUGCAACCCGACCCCACGAAGCUGGAUUCGCUAGUAAUCGCGCAUCAGCCAUGGCGCGGUGAAUACGUUCCCGGGCCUUGUACACACCGCCCGUCAAGCCAUGAAAGCCGGGGGCGCCUGAAGUCCGUGACCGCAAGGGUCGGCCU